rnacentral:sRNA from 1 species
CACAGACACCCAUCUCCCCCUACCAAAAAUAACGCUGGGCUCCUUCCACCCUGACUCUGCCCCUCUGUGUGCAGGAGCCUGGUGGGGGUGCUCCACAGAAGCUGUGCCUGGGCUUGGGAGCCAAGGCCAUGUCCCUCUCCCGGCCAGGGGAGACAGAGCCCAUCCACAGUGUCAGCUAUGGCCAUGUGGCCGCCUGCCAGCUAAUGGGCCCCCACACCCUGGCCUUGAGGGUGGGAGAGAGCCAGCUUCUCCUGCAGAGCCCCCAGGUGGAAGAGAUCAUGCAGCUGGUGAAUGCCUACUUGGCCAACCCCUCCCCCGAGAGGCCCUGCAGCAGCUCUUCUCCUCCAUGCCAAGACCUGCCAGACACCUCCCCUCCCAGCCAGCGCCCGGGCCUGGACGAGCCCCAGGGACAGUCUGGCUGCUUGGGGCAGCUGCAGGACUGAGCCUGCCAAGAGGUCACAACUUCCCUCCUGCCUGCAGCCUGGGCCAGGACUGCUCUGAGAUUUGAGGGAAACAUGGACCCUUUUGGCCCUGCAGGGACAGGGCACAUCCCACACCCAAGGGCUACAAUGGGUGUGGGCAAUUUUCUAGUUUGUUUCUUAAUUUAUUUGUAGAAGAGAAGCAAAAAAAAAAAAAGUUUCUUAUUUACACAAA